UCCACGCCGUAAACGAUGAUCACUCGCUGUAUGCGAUACACAGUAUGCGGCCAAGCGAAAGCAUUAAGUGAUCCACCUGGGGAGUACGAUCGCAAGGUUGAAACUCAAAGGAAUUGACGGGGGCCCGCACAAGCGGAGGAACAUGUGGUUUAAUUCGAUGAUACGCGAGGAACCUUACCUGGGCUUAAAUGGGGAACGACAGCAGCCGAAAGGUUGCCUUCUUCGGACGUUCUU
rnacentral:rRNA from 1 species